CCUACGGGAGGCAGCAGUGGGGAAUUUUGCGCAAUGGGGGAAACCCUGACGCAGCAACGCCGCGUGCGGGACGAAGGCCCUCUGGCUGUUAACCGCUUUCAGCAGGGAAGACAUCGACGGUACCUGCAGACUAUGCUCCGGCAAACUACGUGCCAGCCGCCGCGGUCCUACGUAGGGGGCGAGCGGUUACCGGAUUGAUUGGGCGUAAAGCGCGCGUAGGCGGCCGCCUAAGCGGAAGCGCAAAUCGCGGGGCUCAACCGCAGGCAGGGGUCGGGACGGGGGAGCUAGAGUGGGGGAGAGGAAGGCGGAAUGCGCGGUGUAGCGGUGAAAUGCACAGAUAUCAGGAAGAACAGCGAUGGCGAAGGCAGCACACCGGGGCGUAACUGACGCUGAGGCACGAAAGCGGGGGGAGCGAACAGGAGUAGAUACCCCAGUAGUC
rnacentral:rRNA from 1 species